AGUGAACGCUGGCGGCGUGCUUAACACAUGCAAGUCGAACGAGAACGGAUUAUAGCUUGCUAUAAUUGUCAGCUAAGUGGCGCACGGGUGAGUAAUGUAUAGAUAACCUGCCCUCUAGAAAGGAAUAACAGUUGGAAACGACUGCUAAUGCCCUAUAUGCCUUUAAUACAUAAGUAUGCAAGGGAAACGCUUUAGUGCUAGAGGAUGGGUCUGUAUGGUAUCAGCUUGUUGGUGAGGUAAUGGCUCACCCAGGCUAUGACGCCUAACUGGUUUGAGAGGAUGAUCAGUCACACUGGAACUGAGACACGGUCCAGACUCCUACGGGAGGCAGCAGUGGGGAAUAUUGCACAAUGGACGAAAGUCUGAUGCAGCAACGCCGCGUGGAGGAUGACACAUUUCGGUGCGUAAACUCCUUUUAUAUAGGAAGAUAAUGACGGUACUAUAUGAAUAAGCACCGGCUAACUCCGUGCCAGCAGCCGCCGCCG
rnacentral:rRNA from 1 species